UGCCUCCUGGUACUUACCACAGGCUGUGUUCUUGCACUGACUGUAUACAAAAAGGAGGCAGAAUGAGCCUACCCCAUAUACACCUUAGCCCAGGCUUUGUACCUGGCCUGAAUUGCGAGUGGGGGACAUGG
rnacentral:snoRNA from 1 species